rnacentral:rRNA from 1 species
UUUAAGUAUAAGUUUAAAUACAACGAAACUGCGAAGAGCUCAUUAAAACAAUUAUAGUCUAUGUGAGUAAAAUUGCUACACGGAUACCUGUGGUAAUUCUGGAGCUAAUACGUGACUAAAAAUCCAAUUGGAUGUCGGUUAUUAGACAAAAACCAACCUGUGUUUACACGGAAUCUUGGUGAUCCAUAGUAAUAUUGUGAAUCGUAUGACAUUUUAUCGAUGAUACCUCACAUGAGUUUUUGACUUAUCAGCUUGACGGUAGGGUAUUGUCCUAUCGUGGCAUUGACGAGUGACGGGGAAUUAGGGUUUGAUUCCGGAGAGGGAGCCUGAAAGAUAGCUACCACUUCUACGGAAGGCAGCAGGCGCGCAAAUUGUCCAAUCCCGACAUCUUGGGGAGACAGUGAAAAGAAAUAUCAAUGCAGGGCUUUUAGCUCUGCAAUUGAAAUGAGUUUAAUGUAAAUUCUUUUAUAAGUAUCAAUUGGAGGGCAAGUCUGGUGCCAGCAGCCGCGGUAAUUCCAGCUCCAAUAGCGUAUAUUAAAGUUGUUGCAGUUAAAACGCUCGUAGUUUAAUUUCUGCUAGUAAGAUCGGGUCAUGUCUCUUUGAGCAUGAACUUGUUAUUGCUGGCAUUUAUCUGUCUUGCUUUGCAUGUAACAAUGCGAGGCAGGCGGAGUUUGUUACUUUGAGAAAAUUAGAGUGUUUCAAGCAGGCGUGAUGCAUUGAAUAUUACAGCAUGGAAUAACAGUUAACGAUUGAAAUCUUCAUUGUUGGUUUAAGGGUUUCGAUAAUGAUUAAAAGAAACGGUCGGGGGUAUUCGUACUUAGUCGUCAGAGGUGAAAUUCUUAGAUUGACUGAAGACGAACUACUGCGAAGGCAUCUAUCAAGGAUGUUUUCAUUAAUCAAGAACGAAAGUUAGGGGAUCGAAGAUGAUCAGAUACCAUCGUAGUCUUAACUAUAAACUAUGCCAACUAGAGAUCGGGAUUUGUCAAUCAUAUGACUUUUUCGGCACCUUAUGAGAAAUCAAAGUCUUUGGGUUCUGGGGGAAGUAUGAUCGCAAGGUUGAAACUUAAAGGAAUUGACGGAAGGGCACCACCAGGAGUGGAGCCUGCGGCUUAAUUUGACUCAACACGGGAAAACUCACCAGGUCCAGACAUAGGAAGGAUUGACAGAUUGAAAGCUCUUUCUUGAUUCUAUGGGUGGUGGUGCAUGGCCGUUCUUAGUUGGUGGAGUGAUUUGUCUGGUUAAUUCCGUUAACGAACGAGACUUUGACUUGCUAAAUAGUCGUCAUAGCUGUGGCUAUGAUUGUGCUUCUUAGAGGGACUUUGCGUGUAUAAUGCAAGGAGGAUUAAAGCAAUAACAGGUCUGUGAUGCCCUUAGAUGUUCUGGGCUGCACGCGCGCUACACUGAUGCAAUCAACAAGUAUUCCCUGGUCUGCAAAGGUCGGGUAAUCUAACUAGUAUGCAUCGUGAUUGGGAUUGACCAUUGUAAUUAUUGGUCAUAAACGAGGAAUUCCUAGUAAGCGCAAGUCACUAGCUUGUGCUGAUUACGUCCCUGCCCUUUGUACACACCGCCCGUCGCAUCAAUCGAUUGGAUGAUUCGGUGAAUGAUUCGGAUUGGGUCGUUGCUAGAAGUAGCUUCGUCCUUAGAAGUUUUGUAAACCCAAUUAUCUAGAGAANGGUC